AAAGAAGACCGUUCAGUCGCUGGUGCUUUCGAGCACGAGAGGAAAGUCCGGACACCAAAGGGCAGGGUGGCUGAUAACAUCAGCCUGACGUGAGUCAGAGACAGUGCCACAGAAAUAAACCGCCGUUUAUUAACGGUAAGGGUGAAACGGUGGUGUAAGAGACCACCGCUGAUGCUGGUAACAGCACAGGCUAGGUAAACCUCACUCGGUGCAAUGCCAAAUAGGCAGGUUACUUGAAGCGGCCCGCUUUUUAAGACCUGCGGGUAGGCAGCUUGAGCUAUGGAGUAAUUCAUAGCCUAGAUAAAUGACUGGAGAUAACAGGAUCCGGCUUAUAGGUAUUCUUUCUUU
rnacentral:RNase_P_RNA from 1 species